rnacentral:rRNA from 1 species
UACGAAGGGGGCUAGCGUUGUUCGGAAUUACUGGGCGUAAAGCGCCCGUAGGCGGAUUGUUAAGUCAGAGGUGAAAUCCCGGAGCUCAACUUCGGAACUGCCUUUGAUACUGGCAAUCUCGAGUCCGGAAGAGGUUAGUGGAAUUCCCAGUGUAGAGGUGAAAUUCGUAGAUAUUGGGAAGAACACCGGUGGCGAAGGCGCCGCUCUGGGCCGAUACUGACGCUGAGGAGCGAAAGCGUGGGGAGCAAACAGG